UGGAUAGUUCAGAAACAGAGCCCAUCUUAUCGCAGAUUUCGGUUGUUGAGGAAUCUGAGGACACUUCACAUUCAACUGAAAUUACUGAGGAUUGUUUGGAGACUGCUGGUGACCUGCCAAGUGUUGGAGUCUAUGAAAUUCAAUCUUUCUCACAUGCUGAACUGUCCCAAUGUCGCAUAUGCUUGGACAGUGAAGGAGAAGAUCUGAUUGCACCCUGCCAUUGUAAAGGAACACAAAAGUAUGUCCAUAGAUCAUGUCUCGAUAACUGGAGAUCAACUAAGGAGGGAUUUGCUUUUGCUCACUGUACCGAAUGCAGGGCAAAG
rnacentral:misc_RNA from 1 species